GCGUAGCCGCCGGCGGACGGGUAUUGUUGAUGUCAAUAUUAGGAAUUAUUUCGCUGCGUU
rnacentral:tRNA from 1 species